rnacentral:rRNA from 1 species
AACGAACGCUGGCGGCAGGCUUAACACAUGCAAGUCGAACGCCCCGCAAGGGGAGUGGCAGACGGGUGAGUAACGCGUGGGAAUCUACCCAUCCCUACGGAAUAACGCAUGGAAACGUGUGCUAAUACCGUAUACGCCCUACGGGGGAAAGAUUUAUCGGGGAUGGAUGAGCCCGCGUUGGAUUAGCUAGUUGGUGGGGUAAAGGCCUACCAAGGCGACGAUCCAUAGCUGGUCUGAGAGGAUGAUCAGCCACAUUGGGACUGAGACACGGCCCAAACUCCUACGGGAGGCAGCAGUGGGGAAUAUUGGACAAUGGGCGCAAGCCUGAUCCAGCCAUGCCGCGUGAGUGAUGAAGGCUUUAGGGUUGUAAAGCUCUUUCACCGGAGAAGAUAAUGACGGUAUCCGGAGAAGAAGCCCCGGCUAACUUCGUG